AACCACAGCCAUGUCACCCUGCAGCCUAGACCGGUUGCUCACUGCUGCUAAGCUGCGCUGAGUCUGAUUAGUACCUGGAUGGGAGACCACAUGGAAAACUAGGCUGCUGUUGGAA
ensembl:rRNA 5S_rRNA 5S ribosomal RNA